rnacentral:rRNA from 1 species
CACGUAGGGCGCGAGCGUUGUCCGGAAUUAUUGGGCGUAAAGAGCUCGUAGGCGGCCUGUUGCGUCCGCUGUGAAAGCCCGGGGCUUAACCCCGGGUUUGCAGUGGAUACGGGCAGGCUAGAGGUAGGUAGGGGAGAAUGGAAUUCCCGGUGUAGCGGUGAAAUGCGCAGAUAUCGGGAGGAACACCGGUGGCGAAGGCGGUUCUCUGGGCCUUACCUGACGCUGAGGAGCGAAAGCGUGGGGAGCGAACAGG